rnacentral:lncRNA from 1 species
GCUCAACCCAAUAAUACUGAUCCAUCCCAUUCCCAUACCGCGUCUGAAAACACAAUCAGACAUCUCAGUAGAAGACUGGCAACACACUCAAGCAGCAGUGCACAAGAGCAGGUAAACAAGCUAGAGUUCUUGAAUUGAAACUGAAAGCAUUCUAGAAUUCAUGAUCCACAGAAGAGAGCGAUCAAACGCCUAGCCUAGAAGGUGAAGAUCUCAGCAGGUACAUGACCAUGAAGAUUAAAACUCACGUUAGUGACAGCGAGAGCUACAGCAUUACAGACGGCGGCUAAAUUAAUCUUACUUAGGGAAAAACAGCAUGCCAGAGAGCAAGAACCUAAAUCUCCUAGCUACCAGGUCGGCCAUUGCUGGUCGACGGCAGACGUUACAGCAGUACCAGCUCCUCUCCAGCCCAGCCAACAAAUGGGGCUCUCUUCGAAGGCUUGAGCAUGCGGUGUUAGUUCGACAUCAUCUUCAUGUCAGCGUCAUGCCUGUUGUUGUUCUGAUGGUGCGCCGAGAGCGACCAGCCGCCGGAUGCGUAGGCAGGGGGCAUGUGCUGCUGCUGGUGCUGCUGCCCACCAGAGUGGUUGUAGGGCAUCCCGCCGUGGUUGAUGGGGCUGCCGGAGUCAUCGGAUGAUGCGCUGGAUGUGCCCUCUGAGGGAGGGCUGGCCACUGGAGCUGGCACAUAGGUGGCCAUCUGUGGAGGUGCGGACAUCGGUUCAACCUUCCGUGGCUCAGCGGGCUUUGAUUUUUUACCUUCGGCUAUGAAACUAGCCACGACAACCUGAUGGCAAAGAUCCCAAGUCAGCAUUUGACAUAUUUUAACAAAAUGGAGCUACGGCAGAGACAAUUCCCAAAUUAAUAGAACCUGAACAG